UUUUAUGGAGAGUUUGAUCCUGGCUCAGGAUGAACGCUGGCGGCGUGCCUAAUACAUGCAAGUCGAGCGAACAGACGAGGAGCUUGCUCCUCUGACGUUAGCGGCGGACGGGUGAGUAACACGUGGAUAACCUACCUAUAAGACUGGGAUAACUUCGGGAAACCGGAGCUAAUACCGGAUAAUAUAUUGAACCGCAUGGUUCAAUAGUGAAAGACGGUUUUGCUGUCACUUAUAGAUGGAUCCGCGCCGCAUUAGCUAGUUGGUAGGGUAACGGCUUACCAAGGCGACGAUGCGUAGCCGACCUGAGAGGGUGAUCGGCCACACUGGAACUGAGACACGGUCCAGACUCCUACGGGAGGCAGCAGUAGGGAAUCUUCCGCAAUGGGCGAAAGCCUGACGGAGCAACGCCGCGUGAGUGAUGAAGGUCUUCGGAUCGUAAAACUCUGUUAUUAGGGAAGAACAAAUGUGUAAGUAACUAUGCACGUCUUGACGGUACCUAAUCAGAAAGCCACGGCUAACUACGUGCCAGCAGCCGCGGUAAUACGUAGGUGGCAAGCGUUAUCCGGAAUUAUUGGGCGUAAAGCGCGCGUAGGCGGUUUUUUAAGUCUGAUGUGAAAGCCCACGGCUCAACCGUGGAGGGUCAUUGGAAACUGGAAAACUUGAGUGCAGAAGAGGAAAGUGGAAUUCCAUGUGUAGCGGUGAAAUGCGCAGAGAUAUGGAGGAACACCAGUGGCGAAGGCGACUUUCUGGUCUGUAACUGACGCUGAUGUGCGAAAGCGUGGGGAUCAAACAGGAUUAGAUAC
rnacentral:rRNA from 1 species